GGCGGGGGCAGCGCCGGCUGCGGAGGGAAACGCUUCGCUCUCCGCGCUCCGGGACCGGCGCCUGCUGCGGUGCGGAUGCGUAUGGACGAAUCGUCGUGAAAACAGCUCCCGACGUUUUCCCCUUAAAAAAAAAAAAAAAAAAAACAAAACCAAAAAAAAAACACCAAACCCAAACAAACCGCCCACUUGGAUAAUUAAAACGGUUUUUGGCAGUAUCCAGUGUUGCUAAGGCUGAUUGAAUUCCUACUACCAGUCCUACUCCCAAAGGCAGCUUUUCUAAGCUGAUUCCUGACACAGGAGAUGAAUCCUGCUGCAGAUGAGGAGCACAGGGACCUGUCGCCUUCACUCCACUUCCAGCAAACUCUCCUGAGAGCAAAUCUCCCUCAAAGCUGUUCUGGUGAUCACACAGCAGAAAAAUAAUUCCCCAACUGUUGCACCAGGGUAACUGCUACGGGUAAA
rnacentral:lncRNA from 1 species